AACGAACGCUGGCGGCAUGCCUAACACAUGCAAGUCGAGCGAAGGACGGGAGCUUGCUCUUGGACUCAGCGGCGAACGGGUGAGUAAUGCCUAGGAAUCUGCCUGGGAGUGGGGGAACAACUCCGGAAACCGGCGGUUAAUACGAGUCCGGCUUGCGGGAGUUCGAGGGGGAGCGUCGGUCCUGAUGCCAACUGCGGAUCCUAGGUCGAAUUAGCUAGUUGGUGGGGUAAAGGCCGACCAAGGCGACGAUGCGUAACUGGUCUGAGAGGAUGAUCAGUCACACUGGAACUGAGACACGGCCCAGACUCCUACGGGAGGCAGCAGUGGGGAAUCUUGGGCAAUGGGCGAAAGCGUGAUCCAGCAAUGCCGCGUGUGUGAAGAAGGACUUCGGAUUGUAAAGCACUUUAAGUAGGGAGGAAGGUCAGUCGGUUAAUACCUGGCUGUAUUGACGGUACCGCCAGAAUAAGCCCCGGCUAACUACGUG
rnacentral:rRNA from 1 species